GGAUCUUUCUCGCGAUGCAUCUAGAUUAUGCGUAGCCGACCUGAGAGGGUGAUCGGCCACACUGGGACUGAGACACGGCCCAGACUCCUACGGGAGGCAGCAGUAGGGAAUCUUCCGCAAUGGACGAAAGUCUGACGGAGCAACGCCGCGUGAGUGAUGAAGGUUUUCGGAUCGUAAAGCUCUGUUGUUAGGGAAGAACAAGUGCCGUUCAAAUAGGGCGGCACCUUGACGGUACCUAACCAGAAAGCCACGGCUAACUACGUGCCAGCAGCCGCGGUAAUACGUAGGUGGCAAGCGUUGUCCGGAAUUAUUGGGCGUAAAGGGCUCGCAGGCGGUUUCUUAAGUCUGAUGUGAAAGCCCCCGGCUCAACCGGGGAGGGUCAUUGGAAACUGGGGAACUUGAGUGCAGAAGAGGAGAGUGGAAUUCCACGUGUAGCGGUGAAAUGCGUAGAGAUGUGGAGGAACACCAGUGGCGAAGGCGACUCUCUGGUCUGUAACUGACGCUGAGGAGCGAAAGCGUGGGGAGCGAACAGGAUUAGAUACCCUGGUAGUCCACGCCGUAAACGAUGAGUGCUAAGUGUUAGGGGGUUUCCGCCCCUUAGUGCUGCAGCUAACGCAUUAAGCACUCCGCCUGGGGAGUACGGUCGCAAGACUGAAACUCAAAGGAAUUGACGGGGGCCCGCACAAGCGGUGGAGCAUGUGGUUUAAUUCGAAGCAACGCGAAGAACCUUACCAGGUCUUGACAUCCUCUGACAAUCCUAGAGAUAGGACGUCCCCUUCGGGGGCAGAGUGACAGGUGGUGCAUGGUUGUCGUCAGCUCGUGUCGUGAGAUGUUGGGUUAAGUCCCGCAACGAGCGCAACCCUUGAUCUUAGUUGCCAGCAUUCAGUUGGGCACUCUAAAGUGACUGCCGGUGACAAACCGGGAGGAAGGUGGGGGAUGACGUCAAAUCAUCAUGCCCCUUAUGACCUGGCUACACACGUGCUACAAUGGACAGAACAAAGGCAGCGAAACCGCGAGGUUAAGCCAAUCCCACAAAUCUGUCUCAGUUCGGAUCGCAGUCUGCACUCGACUGCGUGAGCUGAUCGCUAGUAUCGCGAUCAGCAUGCGCGGUGAUACGUCCCGGUCUGUACACACGGUCGUCACACCACGAAGUUGAUCGGAUUCGAUCGUCGACUGCUAAGCUGCAUGCAAGCUCUAUACGGAGGCGAUUAGCUUGCUACUAGGCCUACCGUUCCGUCGUGAAUGUUUAUAUCGG
rnacentral:rRNA from 1 species